rnacentral:lncRNA from 1 species
AACCGAUACACAUUUGUGUAUGAUUGUCGAUAUGGUACAAUUCAGUACAAUACUGUAUCGGUUACCUGACCCAUACGAUACCUGGUACCAAAACUAUGGACCUUGCUUGGAUGUAUCCAAGUGCCAUGAACACUCGACUUGGGCUUGAGUUUUUAAAGUGUGCAUUUUCUAUUAGAAUAUUGUAUAUUAUGUCGCUUUUCAUUUGUAGAUGCUGCUAGUUUCUUAAACCAUUUUGCUUCAAUGAGUUAACAGUACCGAUACCGGCACUUCAAUAUCACACACCCUUUCAAAUACCACUCAAACAUUAAAAAAAUUAAGUCCAAUUAAAAUCCAUAAUAAUGAACAACAAAAAACAUGAAAAAUAAGGAAAAACCUAAGGGUUCAAAAUUGUGUCCCAAUAUGUUACCGCUAUGCAAUGCCAUAUCAUGAGCUGGCAAGGGACAAACUAGUAUUGUACCAGUCUAACAGAUGUCAGUACCUGUUGUCACGCCCCGGACCCGGAUCCGUGACACGGCCGUGCUAUUGCCGACUAUCGCCCACAGUAGCACGCAGCCUCAUACAGGGGUAACAGGUAGCCAAAAGGAUUCAAAC